rnacentral:rRNA from 1 species
UGGGGAAUUUGGACAAUGGGCGAAAGCCUGAUCCAGCAAUGCCGCGUGCAGGAUGAAGGCCUUCGGGUUGUAAACUGCUUUUGUACGGAACGAAAAGCUUCUCCUAAUACGAGAGGCCCAUGACGGUACCGUAAGAAUAAGCACCGGCUAACUACGUGCCAGCAGCCGCGGUAAUACGUAGGGUGCGAGCGUUAAUCGGAAUUACUGGGCGUAAAGCGUGCGCAGGCGGUUUAUGUAAGACAGAUGUGAAAUCCCCGGGCUCAACCUGGGAACUGCAUUUGUGACUGCAUGGCUAGAGUACGGUAGAGGGGAUGAAUUCCGCGUGUAGCAGUGAAAUGCGUAGAUAUGCGGAGGAACACCGAUGGCGAAGGCAAUCCCCUGGACCUGUACUGACGCUCAUGCACGAAAAGCGUGGGGAGC